rnacentral:lncRNA from 1 species
GACGUUGGCAAGGUCAAGUGGUCAACAGAAAUUUCGCCGUCUCGAGCGAGAUGCGACUUAUUCCGGUUGUUAUGCAGCAGUUGUAUACUUAUUGUAUACUUAUUGGGUAUCGAGUCAAUGGGGAUUGAUGGCAAAUAUGUAAGAUUUGGCGCAAAAGAGUUGAACAGUUGAUCGUUAGAGAUAAAUAUCAAGUAGUCCCGAACAUUUUGACGCCACUAUCUUAUCAGAAGACAAAGAGAGGAUGUAGAAGUUGGAAGAGCGUGUUAAUUUUCCGUCAAUAUUUUUAGGAAAUCUGAGAAGAAGAGGAAAGACUAGUCUUAUAUUUUCUGAAGUUGGUGAUUUGGUGAUGAUUCUUUGGACACUAAUCAAUCAUUUCAUUGCCUGCGAACAGGAUCUGUUUAGUCAAUCACAUCGGUUUCGAAUUUCAACACCUUAAAACGCGGGCUUGCGGUGGGCCUUGUGUCAACUUUAAUGCUUUGAUAAUAAACUAUUGUAGUAUUGUACCAAAAAAGACCACUAAAAUUAUGUCUUAACACGCCAACAACGGUAACUAAAAUUAAACUCUUAUAUUUAUAUUCUUAUACUACAAGUAAAGAAUUCUUAAAAUAUAUAUUAUCGGAAUUUGUUUUCAAAAUCCUAUUAUGGAAUAGUAAGCAUGGAUAAAAAGUAUGGAUCUUCGUU